rnacentral:rRNA from 1 species
UACAGAGGUCUCGAGCGUUGUUCGGAUUCAUUGGGCGUAAAGGGCGCGUAGGCGGCGGGGUAAUCUGGUGUGAAAUCUCGGAGCCACAUCAUCGAUGCACUGGAUACUGCUCUGCUAGAGGGCUGAGAGGAGAUCGAAUUCACGGUGUAGCAGUGAAAUGCGUAGAUAUCGUGAGGAAGACCAGUGGCGAAGGCGGAUCUCUGGACGUACUGACGCUGAGACGCGAAAGCGUGGGAGCGACAGG